UAAUAAGUGUUUUAUGGCACUUUUUAAAUCCAUAUCCACCUUGUGUGCAAUGUCAGGUUGUCCUCUUCAUUUUCUGGAGAGGAUGACCCAAACAUCAACUUAUCCUUGAACAACAUUCGUCUGAUAACAUAUUAUGAAUAUACUUAAUUCAAAAUA
rnacentral:misc_RNA from 1 species